UGUAGAGGAGAUAUCCUGGCUUGCCCCUGGUCAAGGAACUCUUAAAAACUUCCCUGAAGUGGCAAGUCCCUGCAGCUACGUCAGCAUCAUAUCCCUAACGCUUUGGAUCAACGUUAUGAUAUAGACUCUUUGAACUACGUUAUGACAGAGUAUGGAGCGUUAACACAGCCCUGGAGCAGAACUAAAAGUCUCACAAAUCCAGCGCCUCCUCCAGCUACAGUUACACAAGUUGAUGUACCUGGACCCCAAAGCAGAUCUGCACUAGAAUCCUGGGGGCCCUGCCUACUGUGUGAAUUUGAACAAGUUGCC